AGGCAGCAGUGGGGAAUAUUGCGCAAUGGGCGGAAGCCUGACGCAGCGACGCCGCGUGAGGGAUGACGGCCUUCGGGUUGUAAACCUCUUUCAGCUCUGACGAAGCGAGAGUGACGGUAGGAGCAGAAGAAGCACUGGCCAACUACGUGCCAGCAGCCGCGGUAAUACGUAGGGUGCAAGCGUUGUCCGGAAUUAUUGGGCGUAAAGAGCUCGUAGGCGGUCUGUCGCGUCGAAUGUGAAAACCCGGGGCUCAACCCCGGGCCUGCACUCGAUACGGGCAGACUAGAGUUCGGUAGGGGAGUCUGGAAUUCCUGGUGUAGCGGUGAAAUGCGCAGAUAUCAGGAGGAACACCGGUGGCGAAGGCGGGACUCUGGGCCGAUACUGACGCUGAGGAGCGAAAGCGUGGGGAGCAAACAGGAUUAGAUACCCUGGUAG
rnacentral:rRNA from 1 species